UCUCGAAGAUUAAGCCAUGUAUGUGCCAAGUUCAAACGUAUUACGUGAGACUGCGGACGGCUCAGUAAAUCAGUGAUAAUCUAUUUGAUUUUCUCUCCCAUUGGAUAACCGUGGGAAAUCUAGAGCUAAAACAUGCGGUAUCUUGACAUGCUUUCGGGUAUGUCAAAGCAUUUAUUAGUCUAAACCAACUGCUUUGUUUAUUCAAAGUAAGGUGAAUCUGGAUAACUUUGCUGAUCGUAUGGCCUAGUGCCGGCGACGUUUCAAUUGAGUUUCUGCCCUAUCAACUUGUUGGUAAGGUAUUGGCUUACCAAGGUUGCAACGGGUAACGGGGAAUCAGGGUUCGAUUCCGGAGAGGGAGCCUGAGAAACGGCUACCACAUCCAAGGAAGGCAACAGGCGCGCAAAUUACCCAAUCUAGACAGUAGGAGGUGGUGAAGAGAAUUACCAAAUGGUGGUCCAAUGGAUCACUUGUUUGGAAUGAACGUAACUUAAGAAAUUCGUUGAUAAACAACUGGAGGGCAAGUCCUGGUGCCAGCAGCCGCGGUAAUUCCAGCUCCAGUAGUCUGCUUUAAAGUUGUUGCGUUUAAAACGCUCGUAGUUGGAUCACGCAGCAGUGUCCAGUUAUCUUUUGUUCAACUCAGUCGAAUGUGUCCGUCHCHGACGGCCAUUUGGUAGUUUUGRCUCUAGAUGCAAUGCUGGAUGCUGUUAUUUGCACGUGAGAUAGAUUGUUGGCCUUAAUUGAGCCGGUAUUCUUGUCUUGCGGAGUGUGCCUUGAAUAAAACAGAGUGCUUAAAGCAGGUUUUUGCCUGAAUGUUAUAGCAUGGAACGAACAAUCGUGUAUAUGUGUGAGUCAUUGGAUAGUUACGAAUCUUUGGUUUGUAGUUGUCCGUGGCGCACACGGCACCCGCCUAAAUAUGUGUGUUGGUUACAUAUACGGUGAUGAUUAACAGAAGCGGUUGGGGGCAUUAGUAU
rnacentral:rRNA from 1 species